rnacentral:rRNA from 1 species
UUUUAUUUGAGAGUUUGAUCCUGGCUCAGGAUGAACGCUGGCGGCGUGCCUAACACAUGCAAGUUGAGCGAUUUACUUCGGUAAAGAGCGGCGGACGGGUGAGUAACGCGUGGGUAACCUACCCUGUACACACGGAUAACAUACCGAAAGGUAUGCUAAUACGGGAUAAUAUAUUUGAGAGGCAUCUCUUGAAUAUCAAAGGUGAGCCAGUACAGGAUGGACCCGCGUCUGAUUAGCUAGUUGGUAAGGUAACGGCUUACCAAGGCGACGAUCAGUAGCCGACCUGAGAGGGUGAUCGGCCACAUUGGAACUGAGACACGGUCCAAACUCCUACGGGAGGCAGCAGUGGGGAAUAUUGCACAA